UACGGAGGGUGCAAGCGUUGUCCGGAAUCACUGGGCGUAAAGGGCGCGUAGGCGGCGUUUUAAGUCGGGGGUGAAAGCCUGUGGCUCAACCACAGAAUGGCCUCGAUACUGGGACGCUUGAGUAUGGUAGAGGUUGGUGGAACUGCGAGUGUAGGAGGUGAAAUUCGUAGAUAUUCGCAAGAACACCGGUGGCGAAGGCGGCCAACUGGACCAUUACUGACGCUGAGGCGCGAAAGCGUGGGGAGCAAACAGG
rnacentral:rRNA from 1 species